UAAAACUAAAUUUGUCAGCCUAAAAGUCAAGAUUUGGACCAAAAUGAAAUCUGGCCCAGUUUUGUGCUCAAGUACUGGGCCAGUCCUCUUUAACCAUUUUUGAAAGAAAAAUAAGAGCUGCCCAGCUUAAAUUGAUUCAUACAAGGGAUGUUACAUAGAAAAAAUCAUGGCGUUUGCAUUGGCUAAUAAUAUUAAUAAAACAUGACCUAUAUCAUAGGGUUGAAUUUCAAAUAGAUUUACAAAGGCCAGAUAACGUUUAAAAGACAUUAAAGACUGGGCCAUGAAAUGCAGGCCUAGUAAGGUCUCUCUUUUUUAAAGACCUCCUUGGGGUCUAAUGAUUCGGACCCAUCAACCCAGGCUUUUGUCCUAUUUAUGAGGGCCCAUAACAAAAAGGCCUUUACAAAUGACCCCAAUCAAAAACAUAAAUUAUUACAUAUUCUAGUCCAAUCAUCAUGUUUAAACAUUAAUUCUCAUUUACACACGUCAUACUAAAGUAAAGAUGAAGAAAAAUUAAACUUGUAUUAUGAGAUUUCUAAGUUUCAUAUUACAAGGCCAUGAUACAUAAACAAAUCUACUAUAAACUGUAGGAUCAAAAAAUAGCUUCAAUAUCAUCUAAAAUGACUACUUGGAGUUUGAUUAACCAACUGGAACAAAUGAAUCUGCAGAUUACAACCUGGAUAGAGAUUUCGAAUAUGUAAGGAGUUAAUCCCCUAUUUUUAACCAUCUUGACUUUAUACAACAACUGACAUGGACAUGAUAAUAUUUAGGGAUUCAACAAGAAAGCUUUAUUCACAAAAAGGGAGGACAAACAAGCCCUAAAGAUAACAACAAACUUCAGAUUCCAAUGGCUAAAACAAACAAAAUUCAAAGUUCACACUUCUCCUAAAAAGACCUAGACCAAACAGUAAUAUUUAUGCUAAACAGAAAGUAUUCAAAUCUCAAAUCUAUGAAUCAACUAAUAUGUUCAUCCAAAUUUGAAAUUAAGCAUAAAGAGACAAGUAUUUAGAUCAAAUUUAAACAAGAGGAUCCAUUCCAUAUAGGGUGUGAUUACAUACCUAAUAGUGAUCCAAAAACAACAAGAAAUAGACCAAAUAAAGGUCAUUGAAUAAGGCUGAUUUUGAGCUUAAACCAACAGCAAUAAGACAACAGCUAUUCAGAAACUCCACCCAGAAACCAGCAAGAAAACCAACCAGUUUUUUCACCUAGCAAACCACAGCUAAAAGGGACAAGUAUUUCCAGAAAAAUACACAGCUAAGAGAAACCCAUUUUGGAGUGUUUUUGUAUCUAUUUUGGUAUUUUUCAGAAUCAAAUAUGGAUUUUCCGAAAAGACUAAUAUCUCUAUAUGUUUUCAGAACCUUUUUGUGCAGAAAAAUGCUGAUGAAUGUGUGUGUGUGAGAGUGAGGGAAAGUUUUCUUUAUAUAGAGUACCCAAAAAAUGGCAUCUAGGGAAUAUUAUACCCUAAUUUCCCUAGCUAGUACAGUAUUUUUGCAGAGGAUAAAAUGUCUAGUUGUCCAUUUUCAGCAUCUUUUAAAACCAAUUUGGACAGCUGGUACACUUUCUAGAACAUUCUGAUAUUUCCUAAUUAGUAAACCCCAAAUUACCCUUCUAAAGUCUGCUUAUUG
rnacentral:lncRNA from 1 species